rnacentral:rRNA from 1 species
GACGUAGGGCGCGAGCGUUGUCCGGAUUUAUUGGGCGUAAAGAGCUCGUAGGCGGCUUGUCGCGUCGACUGUGAAAUCCCGCGGCUCAACUGCGGGUUUGCAGUCGAUACGGGCAGGCUAGAGUUCGGUAGGGGAGACUGGAAUUCCUGGUGUAGCGGUGAAAUGCGCAGAUAUCAGGAAGAACACCCGUGGCUAAGGCGGCUCUCUAGUACGGUACUGACGCUGAGACGCGAAAGCGUGGGGAGCGAACAGG